UACGUAGGGGGCAAGCGUUGUCCGGAUUUAUUGGGCGGAAAGAGCGUGUAGGCGGCCAUGUAGGUCCGUUGUGAAAACUCGAGGCUCAACCUCGAGACGCCGAUGGAAACCAUGUGGCUAGAGUCCGGAAGAGGAGAGUGGAAUUCCUGGUGUAGCGGUGAAAUGCGCAGAUAUCAGGAAGAACACCCGUGGCUAAGGCGGCUCUCUAGUACGGUACUGACGCUGAGACGCGAAAGCGUGGGGAGCGAACAGG
rnacentral:rRNA from 1 species